AUGCCGUAGCGGGAGGAACUUGAGGAACUUGGCUGCAAUUCACUUGCUACUGAUGAGCCACAAGCGAACAGUAAUGGACAAAAGAAAGUCUACCUUCUGGAAAUAUCAGGUUCAAAGCCAUGGCAAGUUGUUCUUCAAACAAGAAAGGAUUAUUUGUCGUCGUGAGAAGAGGCGACGUCCCUGCAGCAAACGCCUGCUGUGCGUGUCGUUUUAAAGGAAGAAGAUGGGCAAUGCGUGUUUGUUUAGCGCCUGUGACAGAUUCGACGUUCCCCCUUCCCGACAACUGGCACAGGAGAACGCCAGAUGCCAAAGCAGGCAACAUCUGGACACUUCAUUAGACAGCGUCAAAGUAAACACGGACAGAUCUUUCAAAAACAUCUGUUGACAACGUACCUCCUCACGGCCGAGUAUGAGCAAAGUGUAAGUCAAGACAUCAGCGUACUGUAUGUCACGAUUUACGACGAUGGAAAAGUCCUCAUUUCUCAUCGACUGUGUGACACUGCUGCCGUGGCGACACUGUGCUAUUGUGUGCACUAUUGUGUGUGAGCUAUUGUGUGACCAACAAGGAAGCCAUUUAGCCUUGUAGGCUCCUGUGAAUGUUUCAAAA